rnacentral:rRNA from 1 species
CCUACGGGUGGCUGCAGUGGGGAAUAGUGGACAAUGGGGGCAACCCUGAUCCAGCCAUGCCGCGUGUGUGAAGAAGGCCCUCGGGUUGUAAAGCACUUUCAGUGAGGAAGAACGCCUGGUGGUUAAUACCCAUCAGGAAAGACAUCACUCACAGAAGAAGCACCGGCUAACUCCGUGCCAGCAGCCGCGGUAAUACGGAGGGUGCGAGCGUUAAUCGGAAUUACUGGGCGUAAAGCGCGCGUAGGUGGCUUGAUAAGCCGGUUGUGAAAGCCCCGGGCUCAACCUGGGAACGGCAUCCGGAACUGUCAAGCUAGAGUGCAGGAGAGGAAGGUAGAAUUCCCGGUGUAGCGGUGAAAUGCGUAGAGAUCGGGAGGAAUACCAGUGGCGAAGGCGGCCUUCUGGACUGACACUGACACUGAGGUGCGAAAGCGUGGGUAGCAAACAGGAUUAGAUACCCCGGUAGUC